AACGCACGAGACCUGCGGACCUGCGGAGGGAUCAUUAUUGAGUCUUUGAAAAGGGGUUGUAGCUGGCCUCUACUCGAGGCAACUUUGUGCACACCCUGCUCAAUCUGCUUUAUACCUUUGUGCACUCCACUGUAAGCCUUUGAAAAUUGAAAGGUGGGCGUUGCCCCGUCUCGUCCGCUUAAAAUUUUUGGGGGCUUGCGCUGUUUAUGAAUGCCCUAUGAAGUGUUGGAACGUGCGAUG
rnacentral:misc_RNA from 1 species